UACGGGAGGCAGCAGUGGGGAAUAUUGCACAAUGGGCGAAAGCCUGAUGCAGCUAUGCCGCGUGUAUGAAGAAGGCCUUAGGGUUGUAAAGUACUUUCAUCGGGGAGGAAAAACAAAACUAAUAAUUUUAUUUCUUGACGUUACCCGAAAAAGGAGCACCGGCUAACUCCGUGCCAGCAGCCGCGGUAAUACGGAGGGUGCUAGCGUUAAUCAGAAUUACUGGGCGUAAAGAGCACGUAGGUGGUUUUUUAAGUCAGAUGUGAAAUCCCUGGGCUUAACCUAGGAACUGCAUUUUGAAACUGAAAUACUAGAGUAUCGUAGAGGGAGGUAGAAUUCUAGGUGUAGCGGUGAAAUGCGUAGAUAUCUGGAGGAAUACCUGUGGCGAAAGCGGCCUCCUAAACGAAUACUGACACUGAGGUGCGAAAGCGUGGGGAGCAAACAGGGAUUAGAUACC
rnacentral:rRNA from 1 species